rnacentral:rRNA from 1 species
UACCAGCACCCCGAGUGGUCGGGACGUUUAUUGGGCCUAAAGCAUCCGUAGCCGGUUCUACAAGUCUUCCGUUAAAUCCACCUGCUCAACAGAUGGGCUGCGGAAGAUACUAUGGAGCUAGGAGGCGGGAGAGGCAAGCGGUACUCGAUGGGUAGGGGUAAAAUCCGUUGAUCCAUCGAAGACCACCAGUGGCGAAGGCGGCUUGCCAGAACGCGCUCGACGGUGAGGGAUGAAAGCUGGGGGAGCAAACCGG